rnacentral:rRNA from 1 species
CUCCAUGUGUAGCGGUGGAAUGCGUAGAUAUAUGGAAGAACACCAGUGGCGAGGGCGGCUGUCUGGUCUGCAACUGACGCUGAGGCUCGAAAGCAUGGGUAGCGAACAGGAUUAGAUACCCUGGUAGUCCAUGCCGUAAACGAUGAGUGCUAGGUGUUGGAGGGUUUCCGCCCUUCAGUGCCGAAGCUAACGCAUUAAGCACUCCGCCUGGGGAGUACGACCGCAAGGUUGAAACUCAAAGGAAUUGACGGGGGCCCGCACAAGCGGUGGAGCAUGUGGUUUAAUUCGAAGCUACGCGAAGAACCUUACCAGGUCUUGACAUCUUACGCUAACCUAAGAGAUUAGGCGUUCCCUUCGGGGACGCAAUGAC